UACAGAGGUCCCAAGCGUUGUUCGGAUUCACUGGGCGUAAAGGGUGCGUAGGCGGUCGGGUAAGUCUGAUGUGAAAUCUCACAGCUUAACUGUGAAACUGCAUUGGAUACUAUCCGGCUCGAGGAAUGGAGGGGAGACUGGAAUACUUGGUGUAGCAGUGAAAUGCGUAGAUAUCAAGUGGAACACCAGUGGCGAAGGCGGCUCUCUGGGACGGUACUGACGCUGAGACGCGAAAGCGUGGGGAGCAAACAGG
rnacentral:rRNA from 1 species